GCUAGUCGACGACCAGAACUAUGUCUGGAAGUGGCACACUGCUCAGUAACACGUAGCUAACCUACCCUUAGAACGGAGACAACCCCGAGAAAUUGGGGCUAAUCUCCGAUAGGUAUGAUGUCCUGGAAUGGUAUUAUGCUGAAAGGGGUCCCAAACAUGUUUUGUGACCUGUCUAGGGAUGGGGCUGCGGCCGAUCAGGCAGUUGGUGGGGUAAAGGCCCACCAAACCUUUGACCGGUACGGGCCAUGAGAGUGGUAGCCCGGAGAUGGGCACUGAGACAAGGGCCCAGGCCCUACGGGGCGCAGCAGGCGCGAAACCUCCUCAAUGCACACACGUGUGAAGGGGUUACCUCGAGUGCUACCUGAAGAAGGUGGCUUUUCUUGGGUCUAAAACGCCCGAGGAAUAAGAGGGGGGCAAGACUGGUGUCAGCCGCCGCGGUAACACCAGCCCCUCGAGUGGUGGGGAUGAUUAUUUGGUCUAAAGCGUCCGUAGCCGGCUGAGUAAGUUUCCCGUUAAAUCCAGCGUCUCAUGCGUUGGACUGCGAGGAAAUACUGCUCGGCUAGAGAGUGAGAGAGGUC
rnacentral:rRNA from 1 species